CCCUUAGAUGUUCUGGGCCGCACGCGUGCUACACUGAGUAAUUCAAUGGGUAAGGGAACGCUAGAGCAUUACCUAAUCUUGAAAUUUGCUCGUGAUGGGGAUCGACGGUUGCAAUUUUCCGUCGUGAACGAGGAAUACCUCGUAGGCGCAUGUCAUCAUCAUGCGCCGAAUACGUCCCUGCCCUUUGUACACACCGCCCGUCGCUCCUACCGAUUGAGUGAUCCGGUGAGGCUCUGGGACCUGGACGGAAAGAGCGUUUCGCUUGUUCUGUUUGGGAAACUUGGUCGAACCUUAUCAUUUAGAGGAAGGAGAAGUCGUAACA
rnacentral:rRNA from 1 species